AGUUGACGUGAUUUUAUAGACAGAUUUCUUCGGAAUGACGAUUAUAAAUGAAAGUAGCGAACGGGUGAGUAACACGUGAGAAACCUGCCUUUCACAAAGGGAUAGCCUCGGGAAACCGGGAUUAAUACCUUAUGAUACAUAGAAAUCGCAUGAUAGCUAUGUUAAAGAUUUUAUCGGUGAAAGAUGGUCUCGCGUCUGAUUAGCUAGUUGGUGGGGUAAAGGCCUACCAAGGCGAUGAUCAGUAGCCGGAUUGAGAGGUUGAACGGCCACACUGGAACUGAGACACGGUCCAGACUCCUACGGGAGGCAGCAGUGGGGAAUUUUGCACAAUGGGGGAAACCCUGAUGCAGCGACGCCGCGUGUACGAUGAAGAUCUUCGGAUUGUAAAGUACUGUCCUUGGUGAAGAUAAUGACUGUAACCAAGAAGCAAGCCCUGGCUAAAUACGUGCCAGCAGCCGCGGUAAUACGUAUGGGGCAAGCGUUGUCCGGAAUUAUUGGGCGUAAAGGGUACGUAGGCGGUUAUUUAAGUCUAAAUUAAAAGGCAUUGGCUCAACCAAUGUAAGGUUUAGAUACUGGAUAACUUGAGUAGAUGAGGGGAAAGUGGAAUUCCAUGUGUAGCGGUGAAAUGCGUAGAUAUAUGGAGGAACACCAAUGGCGAAGGCAACUUUCUGGAAUCAAACUGACGCUGAGGUACGAAGGCGUGGGGAGCAAACAGGAUUAGAUACCCUGGUAGUCCACGCAGUAAACGAUGAGUGCUAGAUGUUGGGAGUCAAAUCUCAGUGUCGCAGCUAACGCAAUAAGCACUCCG
rnacentral:rRNA from 1 species